rnacentral:rRNA from 1 species
AGAAUUUCAGAGUAGCGGUGAAAUGCGUAGAGAUCUGAAGGAAUACCGGUGGCGAAGGCGGCCCCCUGGACAAAGACUGACGCUCAGAUGCGAAAGCGUGGGGAGCAAACAGGAUUAGAUACCCUGGUAGUCCACGCUGUAAACGAUGUCUACUUGGAGGUUGUGGCCUAGAGCCGUGGCUUCCGGAGCUAACGCGUUAAGUAGACCGCCUGGGGAGUACGGUCGCAAGAUUAAAACUCAAAUGAAUUGACGGGGGCCCGCACAAGCGGUGGAGCAUGUGGUUUAAUUCGAUGCAACGCGAAGAACCUUACCUACUCUUGACAUCCACAGAAUUCGCUAGAGAUAGCUUAGUGCCUUCGGGAACUGUGAGACAGGUGCUGCAUGGCUGUCGUCAGC